ACGGCCACAACACAUUGAAAUACAGGUUCCCGUACAAUCACCGAAAUUAAGCAACAUCGAACCUAGUUAAUACCACGAUUGGUGACCGCCUGUGAAUAACAGGUGCUGUAAG